rnacentral:pre_miRNA from 1 species
UUACCUGAAAUUUGUAUGCAGCUGGAACAGUGCCCCUAGCGGCAAACAUAGGCAAACGUUCCAACUCCAUACAAAUUUGACUUA